CUCCUUUUUAGAUUCCAGCACGUCGAAGACGGCCGCUCCAACCAGCAGAGAGCACGUCUCUAAUCAUGUGGGAUGGGAGCUUCACCCAUGGUCUUCCACCAGGCGAUGCCUGUGUCAGGUUCCUGUCAGAUGCAUUCUACGUGGACACAAGUGAUCCCAUGCCCUGAAGGUCUUUCUAAUGACUUAUGAGGACAUGUGACCUGCUGGACAUGUGACAGAGGCGUGUGACACUGAAAAUAUAAAAACAACAAACAAGCAAACAAACACGCUGUGCCAAAUGGUCAGGGAAAGGAGGUCUGCAUUUUCACAGCAUUGGCAAGAUAAUAAAAACUUUGAAGGUCACAAUUGAGAUUUGUGUCCAUUAUUAUUUCAUUCUACCAUAUGAUAUAUUUACUAAUUUAGAUUUUUCUCUUCUAGGCACAAUAAACCGUAAUUAGCAGAGUUUUAAUAG